rnacentral:lncRNA from 1 species
GACAGAUUCACACACAAGGAAAACACCAUGUGAACGUGAAGGAGGAGAUCGGGCUGAUGCAUCGACAAGCCCAAGGACGCCAGAGUGCCAGCUAACCACCAGGAGCUGGGAGGGGCCCGGGCCAGCUGUCCCCCUCGCAGCCUCGGAAGGAACCAACCCUACUGAUACCUUGAACUUGGACUUCUAACCUCCAGAACUCUCACUCUAUAACUGAUGACAAUAGUCGUACCUACAGAGAAGGACCGGAGUCUGAGAGGUUCAGACACAGAACAAAUGCAUGCACUGAGAUAAAUGCAGAGAAGAGAAGGUGUCACCUGAAAUGAGCUCUGCUUUCUUGAGGGUUGGAAGACCUCCUCUGAGUACUGACCCCACCCUGCUGAGCUCAUAGGCCCUCCUGGCCAGGAGAGCCCGGGGUCAGCAAGAGUUUCCUAAGUAAUCUCUCAAGAGAACACAUACCAUGGAGUGAAUCAGAAAUGCACCUCCAUGUCCCUGUGCAAGUACUAGCCAGUCUUCCCAAGUCUGCCAGGAAUAGAGUGACCAACUUGUCCCAGUUUGCCUGGGAUUUUCCCAGUUGAGUGUUGAAAGUCUCACAUCCUCAGAAAUCACUCAGUGCCAAGUGAACUGGGCUGGUUGGUCAUCCUAGCCAGGAAAGGAGGGAGGAGCAAGAGACUGCAGUGUCAUACCUGCCUCUUUCCCUCUCUACAAAAGUAGGGUGGCCUGUAACACUUGUGGGCCUGUUGUCCCCAUCUAGCUGCAUGGGGAGGGCACUUAUGUCAUUUAAGGCUGAGGGUAGGGAGUCCAAAGUUAUCCACUGAAAUUUUGUGUUACUUCUCUGAACUGAGAUGUGUGUAUUAACAUACAUACACAAGUAAUACAUCAUCACUGUAGAAAAUCACAAAUAAAGAUAAGACAAGAAGGGGAUCAAAGAUACUCAUAAUCCUAUGACCCAACAGUAACCAUUUUGAAAAUUUUCAUGUGUACCCUUGUAGAUUAUAAUGCAGGCAUACAGAUAGGUAUAAAUAUAGUAACAUAGUAAACAUACAUAGGUAUAAAUAAGUCCAUUUCAGAAAAAUAUAACAAAAAUGAGGCUUUGAUCACUCAACAGUAUGAGUAUUUAUCUAUGGGAAUAAGUAUAAUUUUAUGACAUCAUUUUAAAUGGCCACAUAAUAUUCCAUAAUAUGUAUGUGCCACGGAUUACUCAACCAAAUUGAUUAGGUAGGACAUUUA